GAUGAACGCUGGCGGCGUGCCUAAUACAUGCAAGUCGAACGCACAGCGAAAGGUGCUUGCACCUUUCAAGUGAGUGGCGAACGGGUGAGUAACACGUGGAUAACCUACCUCAAGGUUGGGGAUAACAUUUGGAAACAGAUGCUAAUACCGAAUAAAACUUAGUAUCGCAUGAUACCAGGUUAAAAGGCGCUACGGCGUCACCUAGAGAUGGAUCCGCGGUGCAUUAGUUAGUUGGUGGGUAAAGGCGUUACCAAGACAAUGAUGCAUAGCCGAGUUGAGAGACUGAUCGGCCACAUUGGGACUGAGACACGGCCCAAACUCCUACGGGAGGCUGCAGUAGGGAAUCUUCCACAAUGGGCGAAAGCCUGAUGGAGCAACGCCGCGUGUGUGAUGAAGGCUUUCGGGUCGUAAAGCACUGUUGUAUGGGAAGAACAGCUAGAGUAGGGAAUGACUUUAGUUUAGACGGUACCAUACCAGAAAGGGACGGCUAAAA
rnacentral:rRNA from 1 species